AUUAACAGGAGGUAUUGAUGCGCCUCAAUUCGAAGACAUGGUUAAAGGCAGUGCGUAGCCAUGCGAUCGGAUUGAGCCGCGUCAAUAUCUCCUUCUACCGA
rnacentral:pre_miRNA from 1 species